GGAGGGUGCGAACGUUGCUCGGAAUUACUGGGCGUAAAGCGCGUGCAGGCGGUUUGUUAAGUUCCGUGUGAAAGCCCUGGGCUCAACCCAGGAAGUGCACGGAAUACUGACAGACUAGAGUGCGGGAGAAGAGGGCGGAAUUCCCGGUGUAGAGGUGAAAUUCGUAGAUAUCGGGAGGAACACCAGAAGCGAAAGCGGUUCUCUAGACCGACACUGACGCUCAGACGCGAAAGCGUGGGGAGCAAACAGGGAUUAGAUACCCUGGUAGUCCACGCCGUAAACGAUGGACACUAGGUGCUGGGGGGCUUGACCCCCCUUCGGCGCCCGUCGCUAACGCAUUAAGUGUCCCGCCUGGGGGAGUACGGUCGCAAGACUA
rnacentral:rRNA from 1 species